CCUACGGGAGGCAGCAGUGAGGAAUAUUGGUCAAUGGGCGGGAGCCUGAACCAGCCAAGUCGCGUGAGGGAAGAAGGUACUGAGUAUUGUAAACCUCUUUUGCCAGGGGACAAAGGCGGCCACGGGUGGCCGUAAGCGGGUACCUGGAGAAAAAGCAUCGGCUAACUCCGUGCCAGCAGCCGCGGUAAUACGGAGGAUGCGAGCGUUAUCCGGAUUUAUUGGGCUUAAAGGGUGAGCAGGCGGCGUGUCAAGUCAGCGGUAAAAGGGCGGUGCUCAAACCCGGCCGGCAGUUGAAACUGGAGUGCUCGAGUUGGAGAGAGGUAUGCGGAAUUCGUGGUGUAGCGGUGAAAUGCAUAGAUAUCACGAAGAACCCCGAUUGCGAAGGCAGCAUACCGGCUCCACACUGACGCUGAGGCACGAAAGCGUGGGUAUCGAACAGGAUUAGAUACCCCUGUAGUC
rnacentral:rRNA from 1 species